ensembl:misc_RNA Gm24420 predicted gene, 24420
UAGUGGCAGCAGCGAAGGACCAUGGAGCCAGGCGGGGAGGCGGGAGGGCUAACAUUACA